rnacentral:rRNA from 1 species
AGCGAACGCUGGCGGCAGGCUUAACACAUGCAAGUCGAGCGGGCGUAGCAAUACGUCAGCGGCAGACGGGUGAGUAACGCGUGGGAACGUACCUUUUGGUUCGGAACAACACAGGGAAACUUGUGCUAAUACCGGAUAAGCCCUUACGGGGAAAGAUUUAUCGCCGAAAGAUCGGCCCGCGUCUGAUUAGCUAGUUGGUGUGGUAACGGCGCACCAAGGCGACGAUCAGUAGCUGGCUGAGAGGAUGAUCAGCCACAUUGGGACUGAGACACGGCCCAAACUCCUACGGGAGGCAGCAGUGGGGAAUAUUGGACAAUGGGCGCAAGCCUGAUCCAGCCAUGCCGCGUGAGUGAUGAAGGCCCUAGGGUUGUAAAGCUCUUUUGUGCGGGAAGAUAAUGACGGUACCGCAAGAAUAAGCCCCGGCUAACUUCGUGCCAGCCGCCGCAGUAAC